GAUGAACGCUGGCGGCGUGCUUAACACAUGCAAGUCGAACGAUGAAGCCCAGCUUGCUGGGUGGAUUAGUGGCGAACGGAUGAGUAACACGUGAGUAACCUGCCCUUAACUCUGGGAUAAGCCUGGGAAACUGGGUCUAAUACCGGAUAGGAGCGUCCACCGCAUGGUGGGUGUUGGAAAGAUUUAUCGGUUUUGGAUGGACUCGCGGCCUAUCAGCUUGUUGGUGAGGUAAUGGCUCACCAAGGCGACGACGGGUAGCCGGCCUGAGAGGGUGACCGGCCACACUGGGACUGAGACACGGCCCAGACUCCUACGGGAGGCAGCAGUGGGGAAUAUUGCACAAUGGGCGCAAGCCUGAUGCAGCGACGCCGCGUGAGGGAUGACGGCCUUCGGGUUGUAAACCUCUUUCAGUAGGGAAGAAGCGAAAGUGACGGUACCUGCAGAAGAAGCACCGGCUAACUACGUG
rnacentral:rRNA from 1 species